rnacentral:rRNA from 1 species
GAUGAACGCUGGCGGCGUGCCUAAUACAUGCAAGUCGAGCGAACGGACGAGAAGCUUGCUUCUCUGAUGUUAGCGGCGGACGGGUGAGUAACACGUGGAUAACCUACCUAUAAGACUGGGAUAACUUCGGGAAACCGGAGCUAAUACCGGAUAAUAGUUUGAACCGCAUGGUUCAAAAGUGAAAGACGGUCUUGCUGUCACUUAUAGAUGGAUCCGCGCUGCAUUAGCUAGUUGGUAAGGUAACGGCUUACCAAGGCAACGAUGCAUAGCCGACCUGAGAGGGUGAUCGGCCACACUGGAACUGAGACACGGUCCAGACUCCUACGGGAGGCAGCAGUAGGGAAUCUUCCGCAAUGGGCGAAAGCCUGACGGAGCAACGCCGCGUGAGUGAUGAAGGUCUUCGGAUCGUAAAACUCUGUUAUUAGGGAAGAACAUAUGUAUAAGUAACUGUGCACAUCUUGACGGUACCUAAUCAGAAAGCCACGGCUAACUACGUG